rfam:Sodalis praecaptivus strain HS1, complete genome.
CUUCGCUGGUGGCGCACCUCCCUUUAGCGGGUGGUGUUAUCAUGCGUCGCUGUCAUCAGACAGAGCAAGACCCCACUAGCCCGCUGCAUCAGCGGGCUUUUUCAU